rnacentral:lncRNA from 1 species
AUCUACAUGGAUAUGCUGAUAAACUGCCAUUUAGUCCAGAGGCUGGACAGAAAUAAAUCACCAGAUAAAAUACAAUAUUCCUAGUGAAAACCCUUAUGGAAUGCAUUCUUGCCCCAAACUCCCCCUGGAAUAGGCACAGCAAUGCUCCCUGAGACCUGGCAGCCCUUCUAAGUGAGCAUAUGGUCUGCUCAGCUCCUGCAGUACCGGUGCACGGCUUGGCAUUUGCCUGUACGCACGCAGGCACAUUGCUCGGGGAUGACAGGAAAACAUGAUUAUGACUUGCAAAUAAUACAAAUAGAAAAAAGGAAAAGCGAGAGGAGCUGCCAUGCAGCAGCAGCGUGGUAAUUAAACUUAUACUGUGAUAUGCAAAAAGAAUAGUGGACCACUGCAUGAGUAAAAUAGCUUUAUCAGCUGUGCUGAAAUAUGACUUGUUGCGUGUCUGUAUUGUUGUUUUUCCACAACCUGUGAAGCCCUGGGAAAUGCUCUAUGCAAGAGGAUAAGAAGUAAAAGCUGCCUCUGCCAUCUUCUGUUUAAUUAACAUAGGUAUACCAAUUUAAUGCAAUUAAUCAAGAUAGGAGGGAUUAAACAGUAACUCUCAGUUGACAAUGACAAUAUUGUUGUUGUUGUGGCAUAAGAAGGGCUACAAAAUGAUAGUGGUGACCGGGAACACUGUGAGUAAGAACAGGCUGGCUGGAGUCUUGGGAGGUUUAUGCAGAUGUAUUGAAAUUUAGGGACCGCUGAUUUUUCAUGUGACCAAGUGUUUAUCUGCCCCUGCCCUUCCCUUUACCCUCUCAGACCUUCCAGGGUAAUCCCCAGAGUGGCAACAACUUUUAAAGUGAUUCCUCUUUCUUCUAACAGGUUCCUGAUGCCAAAGGUCUGACCUUAAAAUGAGCAGUGCAUAGGGCAAGAAUGGGUACUGCAGAGAGCUUCUGGCCUUCAACCCUUCCAAAUACAGCUAUUUUGCAAGUUCUUGUUACCCAGUUCCCGCUGACAAUGAGGGAAGAGGCACAAGUCAGCUCAGAAAAUGAACGACUAGAAG